rnacentral:rRNA from 1 species
ACUAAUUCUAGCCCUACCACCAUAUAACCUAACUACAUCCUAACAUAGACUAAAACAUUUAGCCUAAUAUAAAGUAUUGGAGAAAGAAAUUAUUUACAGGAGCUAUAGAGAAAGUACCGCAAGGGAAAGAUGAAAG